rnacentral:misc_RNA from 1 species
GCAAACUUGGUCAUUUAGAGGAAGUAAAAGUCGUAACAAGGUCUCCGUUGGUGAACCAGCGGAGGGAUCAUUACAGAGUUACCUACUCUCAACCCAUGUGAACUUACCAGUAUCGUUGCCUCGGCGGAGGACCUCUCCGGAAGCCCGCCGGCGGUAUGCUAAACUCUGUUUUACUUGCAUUCUGAACUUACAAGCAAAUAAAUCAAAACUUUCAACAACGGAUCUCUUGGUUCUGGCAUCGAUGAAGAACGCAGC